rnacentral:sRNA from 1 species
UGACUAUCAACACAUGCGGCGGAAUGCGGCGGAAUAUGACCUCUCAUACGAAAGAAUAAUACUAGUACACUAUGAUCAUCGUUACUCUGGGAAGGAGGAGCCUGGUUAGGUUCUAGUUUUCGGGGGCUUGACGCCCUAGAAAGGGGGUGCUUCGCUUUGAUUGAUUGAUGAUGCCCUGAACCUUAACCAAGGUCUCUCUACCUCAUCGGUUGUUGGACUCACCCCAAUUAAACCAGGGGUAUUAUGAUACACCUAUUAUUGUCGCCAAUGCUCAAGAAGGUUCGCCAAGGACAUGGAGGCCUCAGAGGGGCAAAAAGGGCAAUCCCUGAGCAGCCGCCACGCAUCUUGCCAUGCGAUGUGACACAGAGCACAUCCAUGUCUGGUAUGCCGCUACUGUGAUCUGAUGGAAG